rnacentral:rRNA from 1 species
UACGUAGGGUGCGAGCGUUGUCCGGAAUUAUUGGGCGUAGAGGGCUCGUAGGCGGUUUGUCGCGUCGGGAGUGAAAACCAGGUGCUUAACACCUGGCUUGCUUUCGAUACGGGCAGACUAGAGGUAUUCAGGGGAGAACGGAAUUCCCGGUGUAGCGGUGAAAUGCGCAGAUAUCGGGAGGAACACCAAUGGCGAAGGCAGCUCGCUGGGACGGUACUGACGCUGAGGCGCGAAAGCGUGGGGAGCAAACAGG